rnacentral:rRNA from 1 species
AGUGAACGCUGGCGGUAGGCCUAACACAUGCAAGUCGAACGGCAGCACAGUAAGAGCUUGCUCUUACGGGUGGCGAGUGGCGGACGGGUGAGGAAUACAUCGGAAUCUACUUUUUCGUGGGGGAUAACGUAGGGAAACUUACGCUAAUACCGCAUACGACCUACGGGUGAAAGCAGUGGAUCUUCGCACCUUGCUCGAUUGCAUGAGCCGAUGUCGGAUUAGCUAGUUGGCGGGGGAAAGGCCCACCAAGGCGACGAUCCGUAGCUGGUCGGGGAGGAUGACCGCCAACCCUGGAAUGAGAACCGGCUCCAGACUCCUACGGGAGGCAGCAGAGGGGAAUAUUGGACAAUGGGCGAAGGCCUGAUCCAGCCAUACCGCGUGGGUAAGAAAGGCCUUCGGGUGUUAAAGCCCUUUUUUUGGGAAAAAAGAGCAGCAGGUUAAAACCCCGCUGUUCUGACGGUACCCAAAGAAUAAGCACCGGCUAACUUCGUG